CAUGGAGGGUGAGAAUCCCGUUCAUGGUUAAUCUUAAGGAUGCUCUACGAUACGUUCUCCAAGAGUCGAGUUGUUUGGGAUUGCAGCUCAAAAUGGGAGGUAAAUUUCUCCUAAGGCUAAAUAUUGGCGAGAGACCGAUAGCGAACAAGUACCGUGAGGGAAAGAUGAAAAGAACUUUGAAAAGAGAGUUAAACAGUACGUGAAAUUGUUGAAAGGGAAACGAUUGAAGUCAGUCAUACUAACGGGAAAUCAACCUCUUGAGUUUGGUCUCGUGGGUUUCGAAGAGUUUAAAAGCCUUCGGAUUUUCGAGAUUGGGCUCUUCUGGUGUACUUUCUCGUACGGUUAGUCAACAUCGGUUUUGAAUGUCAUAAAAUGACUGGAGGAAUGUGGCUUCGAUCUCGUAUUGAAGUGUUAUAGCCUUUGGUAGAUGUGAUGUUUGAGACCGAGGAUUGCAACGGAUACCCUUCUGGGCUAUUCGUCUGAUCUCUGAAACGUUGCCUUGAUGUCGAAAGCUUGCUUAUGAUGUUAGGGUAUUACGGUCAAAAGGUUAGAACGGAUUAAAUUCGUUAAGGAUGUUGACGUAAUGG
rnacentral:rRNA from 1 species